rnacentral:sRNA from 1 species
CCUGGGUGCAGUGAUGCACACCUGUAAUCCCAGUGGCUGGGAAGGCUGAGGCAGGAGGAUAGCAAGUUUGAGACCAGCCUCAGCAACUUAGUGAGACCCUGUCUCAA